GGGGAUGAUCGGUUUCGACGGUGACCUGUUCGUCGCAGGGAAGCGUGCCGAGAACGUAGGGUCCGCUCGUGGAUGCCCCCUACAAAAGAAUAAGUGCUAAAUCUAACCGCACUGAGUUCGCUCUCGCUGCCUGAGCUU
rnacentral:tmRNA from 1 species